rnacentral:rRNA from 1 species
GGGGAAUUUUCCGCAAUGGGCGAAAGCCUGACGGAGCAAUACCGCGUGAGGGAGGAAGGCUCUUGGGUCGUAAACCUCUUUUCUCAGGGAAGAACACAAUGACGGUACCUGAGGAAUAAGCAUCGGCUAACUCCGUGCCAGCAGCCGCGGUAAUACGGAGGAUGCAAGCGUUAUCCGGAAUGAUUGGGCGUAAAGCGUCCGCAGGUGGCUGUGUAAGUCUGCUGUUAAAGAGUCUAGCUCAACUAGAUACAAGCAGUGGAAACUACACGGCUAGGGUACGUUCGGGGCAGAGGGAAUUCCUGGUGUAGCGGUGAAAUGCGUAGAGAUCAGGAAGAACACCAGUGGCGAAGGCGCUCUGCUAGGCCGAAACUGACACUGAGGGACGAAAGCUAGGGGAGCGAAUGGGAUUAGAUACCCCAGUAGUCCUAGCCGUAAACGAUGGAUACUAGGCGUGGCUUGUAUCGACCCGAGCCGUGCCGUAGCUAACGCGUUAAGUAUCCCGCCUGGGGAGUACGCCGGCAACGGUGAAACUCAAAGGAAUUGACGGGGGCCCGCACAAGCGGUGGAGUAUGUGGUUUAAUUCGAUGCAACGCGAAGAACCUUACCAAGGCUUGACAUGUCGCGAAUCUUGAUGAAAGUUGAGAGUGCCUUCGGGAGCGCGAACACAGGUGGUGCAUGGCUGUCGUCAGCUCGUGUCGUGAGAUGUUGGGUUAAGUCCCGCAACGAGCGCAACCCUCGUUUUUAGUUGCCAGCAUUAAGUUGGGCACUCUAGAGAGACUGCCGGUGACAAACCGGAGGAAGGUGGGGAUGACGUCAAGUCAGCAUGCCCCUUACGCCUUGGGCUACACACGUACUACAAUGCUCCGGACAGAGGGCAGCAAGCAUGCGAAUGCAAGCAAAUCCCGUAGACCGGAGCUCAGUUCAGAUCGCAGGCUGCAACUCGCCUGCGUGAAGGAGGAAUCGCUAGUAAUUGCAGGUCAGCAUACUGCAGUGAAUUCGUUCCCGGGCCUUGUACACACCGCCCGUCACACCAUGGAAGCUGGUAGUGCCCGAAGUCAUUACUCCAACCUUUCGGGGAGGGGGAUGCCUAAGGCAGGACUGGUGACUGGGGUGAAGUCGUAACAAGUAGCCGUACCGGAAGGUGUGGCUGGAUCACCUCCUU